UCCAGAUUAACAGUUGACUGAAGAUUAUAUAUUAGGGCUUCCUCACUCCAGCCUGGGCGACAGAGCAAGACUCUGUCUCAAAAAAAAAAAAAAAAAGAAUUUACUGCACAAAUAAGCCUAGCACAAAGCAGGUGCUUAUAAGUAUUAGCUGAAAGAAAGAUUUUUGAAUGAAAAAAAUGGAGAAAACUACACUUUUUUUUCAUUAAAAAAUGGUUAGCUGGGUGUCGUGGGGCACACCUGUAGUCCAGUCACUCGGGAGGCUGAGGCGGGAGGAUCACUUGAGCCCAGGAGUUCUGGGCUGUAGUGUGCUAUGCCAAUCAGGUGUUCACACUAAGUUCAGCACCAACAUGGUGGCCUCCUGGGAGCAGGGGACCACUAGGUUGACUAAGGAGAGGUGAACCAGCCUCUGCUGGAAACGGAGCAGGUCAAAACUCCCAUGCUGAUUAGCAGUGAGAUCAUGCCUGUGAAUAGCCACUGAACUCUAACCUGAGCAACACGAGACCCCGUCUCUAAAAAAAAGAGGGGAAAAAAAAGAAAAAUGAAAAUUAAAAAAAAAAAAGAAUAAACGUAUCAGAUCACACCCUUCCUAAACUCGUUUUGGUCCCUGUAGCCGAAGGAUGUCAGAGGGCAGCUCAGUGCUUCUCCCUACAACACACACUACCCUGUCUCAGCUGACCCCAGGAUGGGCAGAAACCCAAUCUGAGCUUAUACCUAGGAGAGCAAUUCCACCAGACACCACUGAGAACAUUCCAGAACAAAUAAGGAUAGGAGUUUGCUGGGAGGAUACAGUGACCUGACAGGCACUGGCCCACUCUAUAGAUAGCAGUCGCUGGCUGGGCCUUCCCUGCUCUCUCUGGCCCUGGGCUCCCCUCAUAGUCUCUCAGGAAACCCCUACCUGCCAUCACCUUCCUUUUCCUUUUCCUUUUUUUUUUUUUUUUGAAACAGAGUCUCAAAAAGUCAGGCUGGAGUGCAGUGGUGCAAUCUCAGUUCACUGCAACCUCUGCCUCCCGGGUUCAAGUGAUUCCCACGUCUCAGCCUCCGGAGCAGCUGGGAUUACAGGCGCCUGUCAUCACGCCCGGCUAAUUUUUGUAUUUCUAGUAGAGUUUCACCAUGUUGGCCAGGCUGGUCUCAAACUCCUGACCUCAAGUGAUCCGCCCGCCUUGGCCUCCGAAAGUGCUAGGAUUACAGGCGUGAGCCACUAUAGCCAGCCACCUUCCUCCUUAACUCUUGCCCACCACCCAUGCUUGGCACAAUCCCCUGUACAGAGGACCAAGCUGGAAGAAACCUUCCAUAAUUCAACUCCUUUUUAAAGGAGAGAAACCAAGGCCCCAAGGUGGGGUGACAGGUUAGGGGCAGGUGGGACAGAGACCCAGGUGUCCUGAGCCUCAAUGCAGGACUCCUGGCCACAAUGAAUGCACGUGUGCUAGACCUGGGAGGCCUGGAGCAGCAGGAAGGAAGCAGGAAGAGCCAGCCGACUGGCAGGUCAGUACAGAGGCGGCCGCCCUGGCCUCACUGAUGCACAGGCCCAAGGCAGCUCCUGAGGGCAAUUCCAGGUUGUGCCCAACCCAGGCUGCUGUAGACAGGUUCAAAAAUGUGCAAUGUCAACACAGCUCUGACUCCUGCCACUCUGAGCUGCCAGGGAAAGUUCCAGAGUGAUCUGGCUGGGGAGCCUGUGUCUGGGUGAGGAGAGAGUGGCCCCCAGGCAGGAGCUGACAGAGGUGACAGAGGUGGUGAACUCCCUUCUACUGAACUUUCAGACAAUAGAGACACAGGUGUGAGGGCAACAGGGCCCCACUGCUCCCCUCCAGAUGGGGGUGCUGAGGUCUGGAAGACUCUUGGGGCCUCUUAGGAAGGCCUCUGUAACCUCCUAAUCUCAUUCACUCCUAAGCCAGGCACCAAGGGCUCACUACGCUGAAACUCCCUGUUCCAAGUCACCUGCCUGAAUGACUCCACAGGAUACACCGUCUCUGAUGGCACAGGGUCUCUCCUUACUUUUGGACUGAUGUUCUCACUCUGUCACUUUGCAGUGCGUUGAAUGGUGACCCUCAAAGUGACAUGCCCACAUCCUAAUUCCUAGAACCCGUGAGUGCCACUAUAUUUGGAAAAAUAUCUGUCAAUGUACUUAGGUUAAGGAUCUUUCAUUACGAUGAUGAUUAUUUUGAGACAGGAUAUCGCUCUGUCGCCCAGGCUGGAGUGCAGUGGUGUAAUCUCAGCUCACUGCAGCCUCGACCUCCUGGGCUCAAGAGAUCCUCCCACCUCAGCCUCGCAAAGUGCUGGGAUUACAGGCGUGAGCCUCCACACCCAGUGAGAUUAAGGAUCUUGAGAUGAGGAGAUCAUCCUGGAUUAUCUGGGUGGGCCCUAAACCCAACCAAGUGUCUUUAUACGAGGGAGGCGGAGGGAGAGUUGAGACCAAGAAGGCUGACGUGCAACCAUGAGGCAGAGGCUGGCGUGACAAGGCCACGAGUCCAGGCAGGCCACAGCCACCAGAAGUGGGAGAGGGAGGGAGCAUCUCUCCAGAGCCUCUCAGGGAACACGGCCCUCCCAGCACCCUGAUUUCAUUCUUCUGAACAAAUGCUUGCUGUUUGAAGCCACCCCAUUUCUGGUCAUUUGCUACAGUGGCCACAGGAAGCUAAGACCUGUCGCCCCCCCAAUCCGUGGAAGCAAAUCCCAAAUUAUUCCCAUGCCCCCUGCUGUUCUCCCUCGCUGGCAUCUUUCUUGCCUCUCUUCCCGCAUACCAUCCUCCUUCUUCUGACUCCGCCUUCCCAGGCUAUGUAAGUCCAGGAGGCCUGGGGACCUGUGUCCCCUCAUCUCCACCAAUUCCUAUCUUCUCAGGCAUUUUCUUUUUUCUUUUUUUUUUGAGACGGAAUCUUGCUUUGUCACCCAGGCUGGAGUGCAGUGGCAUGAUCUUGGGUCACUGCAACCUCAGUCUCCUGAGUUCAAGCGAUUCUUCUGCUUCAGCCUCCCGAGUAGCUGGGACUACAGGCAUGCGCCACCACGCCUGGCUAUUUUUUGUAUUUUUAGUAGAGACAGAGUUUCACCAUAUUGGCCACACUGGUCUUGAACUCCUGACCUCGUGAUCUGCCCGCCUCGGGCUCCCAAAGUGCUGGGAUUACAGGUGUGAGCCACCACACCUGACCUUUUCUCAGGCAUUCUCUCCCAACUCCAACCCCAAACCACAAGAUGAGAUGCAGCCUCAAAAGGCAGCUUCUUUCUCCAUCCGGAAGAGCAGAGACGCCUUGGGCCCUAGCAGGGAGGCGAGGGCUGGUGGGACAGGCAUUUGGUCCUGGCUCCGCUGCAAGCUUACACUGGGGCCCCAGGGUCAUCUUAGGACCUCCCUAGGCUUCGCUGGGUUUCCUCUGUGGAAAUGGGAAAAGUCACACCAGAUCCCCCCGAGGCCCCUCCGAGCUGCAGCGUUCUCUCUAAAGAAUUGGAGAGAAGUUUCUAGGAGUCCCUGGGUUUCAGGAUCUGUGAGAUACUCUCCAAGUGCAAAACCCCACAGAGAAUUUGGAAGAGUCAGUAUGAAGAAAAAUAAUGUUGGCUGGGC
rnacentral:lncRNA from 10 species